CGUAUACUUGAGAGAUGUUGAUGUAUAUAUUGGAGAGUCGCAUAUGUAUUUUGGAGAUGGAUUUGUAAAACUUUGUAUAUAUAUAUUUUGGAGAUGUAAAUGUAAAUUUGAUGUAAAUGUUGAAUGAAAAUAUAAUAGUUAGAUAUAUCUCUCUCUUGUUCACUUGUAUGUUACUUGUGAUUCUUACUCUUGCUUGUAUCGCACUUGUGGUGCUUCGUGUAUGUUCUAUGUCAUCCUGGGCGACAAAAAU
rnacentral:lncRNA from 1 species